rnacentral:rRNA from 1 species
UACGGGGGGAGCAAGCGUUGUUCGGAUUUACUGGGCGUAAAGGGCGCGCAGGCGGCUGCUCAAGUCAGGCGUGAAAGGCCUGGGCUCAACCCGGGAAUUGCGCUUGAGACUGGGCUGGCUUGAGUGCGGGAGAGGAUGGUGGAAUUCCCAGUGUAGAGGUGAAAUUCGUAGAUAUUGGGAAGAACACCGGUGGCGAAGGCGGCGACCUGGUCCGUUACUGACGCUGAGGCGCGACAGCGUGGGGAGCAAACAGG